rnacentral:rRNA from 1 species
AUGGCCGCCAAGAAUGCGCUCGUGAGAAAGCUUCCCAGUGUGGAGACUCCGGGCUGCACCACUGUGAUCUGCUCUGACAAGACUGGGACACUGACCACCAACCAGAUGUCAGUCUCAAAGCUCGCUGCGAUCGGUGAUGCCCCAGGGAAAGUUAGGAGCUUCAAGGUGGACGACACGUCGCAUGAUCCCCGUGAUUGCAAAAUUUACUACUGGCCUGCAAGGAGGAUGUAUGCAAAUCUUGAGAUGAUUGCGAAGGUUGUCGCUGUGUGCAAUGAUGCCAGUGUCUCACAUUAUUCAAACCAGUAUGUUUCCACCAGAAUGCCGACCGAGGCUGCUUUAAAGGUCUUGGUUGAGAAAAUGGGAGUACCUGAAGGAAAGAACGGUCUGUCGAUGGAUCCGCCCGAGACAUUAGUUUGGAGGUGA